rfam:Streptomyces avermitilis MA-4680 = NBRC 14893 DNA, complete genome.
CUUCAGCGAACCCAGCCACAGCGGCCGGUCGCCGUCCCGUCCCUGGCCGUAGGCGGCGAUGAGGGCUUCCGCCUC